rnacentral:rRNA from 1 species
GGGUUGUGAGGUUAAGCGACUAAGCGUACACGGUGGAUGCCCUGGCAGUCAGAGGCGAUGAAGGACGUGCUAAUCUGCGAUAAGCGUCGGUAAGGUGAUAUGAACCGUUAUAACCGGCGAUUUCCGAAUGGGGAAACCCAGUGUGAUUCGUCACACUAUCAUUAACUGAAUCCAUAGGUUAAUGAGGCGAACCGGGGGAACUGAAACAUCUAAGUACCCCGAGGAAAAGAAAUCAACCGAGAUUCCCCCAGUAGCGGCGAGCGAACGGGGAGCAGCCCAGAGCCUGAAUCAGUGUGUGUGUUAGUGGAAGCGUCUGGAAAGGCGCGCGAUACAGGGUGACAGCCCCGUACACAAAAAUGCACAUGCUGUGAGCUCGAUGAGUAGGGCGGGACACGUGGUAUCCUGUCUGAAUAUGGGGGGACCAUCCUCCAAGGCUAAAUACUCCUGACUGACCGAUAGUGAACCAGUACCGUGAGGGAAAGGCGAAAAGAACCCCGGCGAGGGGAGUGAAAAAGAACCUGAAACCGUGUACGUACAAGCAGUGGGAGCCUUGAUUUAUCAGGGUGACUGCGUACCUUUUGUAUAAUGGGUCAGCGACUUAUAUUCUGUAGCAAGGUUAACCGAAUAGGGGAGCCGAAGGGAAACCGAGUCUUAACUGGGCGUUAAGUUGCAGGGUAUAGACCCGAAACCCGGUGAUCUAGCCAUGGGCAGGUUGAAGGUUGGGUAACACUAACUGGAGGACCGAACCGACUAAUGUUGAAAAAUUAGCGGAUGACUUGUGGCUGGGGGUGAAAGGCCAAUCAAACCGGGAGAUAGCUGGUUCUCCCCGAAAGCUAUUUAGGUAGCGCCUCGUGAAUUCAUCUCCGGGGGUAGAGCACUGUUUCGGCAAGGGGGUCAUCCCGACUUACCAACCCGAUGCAAACUGCGAAUACCGGAGAAUGUUAUCACGGGAGACACACGGCGGGUGCUAACGUCCGUCGUGAAGAGGGAAACAACCCAGACCGCCAGCUAAGGUCCCAAAGUCAUGGUUAAGUGGGAAACGAUGUGGGAAGGCCCAGACAGCCAGGAUGUUGGCUUAGAAGCAGCCAUCAUUUAAAGAAAGCGUAAUAGCUCACUGGUCGAGUCGGCCUGCGCGGAAGAUGUAACGGGGCUAAACCAUGCACCGAAGCUGCGGCAGCGACACUAUGUGUUGUUGGGUAGGGGAGCGUUCUGUAAGCCUG